GGGGGGCUGGCGCAACGGUAGCGCGUCAGAUUCCAGCAAACUGGAAUCUCCUGAAGGUUAAGGGUUCAAAUCCCUUGUCCCUCA